UGGGGAAUAUUGGACAAUGGGCGAAAGCCUGAUCCAGCCAUGCCGCGUGUGUGAAGAAGGUCUUCGGAUUGUAAAGCACUUUAUGUUGGGAGGAAGGGCAGUAAGCGAAUACCUUGCUGUUUUGACGUUACCGACAGAAUAAGCACCGGCUAACUCUGUGCCAGCAGCCGCGGUAAUACAGAGGGUGCAAGCGUUAAUCGGAUUUACUGGGCGUAAAGCGCGCGUAGGCGGCUAAUUAAGUCAAAUGUGAAAUCCCCGAGCUUAACUUGGGAAUUGCAUUCGAUACUGGUUAGCUAGAGUGUGGGAGAGGAUGGUAGAAUUCCAGGUGUAGCGGUGAAAUGCGUAGAGAUCUGGAGGAAUACCGAUGGCGAAGGCAGCCAUCUGGCCUAACACUGACGCUGAGGUGCGAAAGCAUGGGGAGCAAACAGG
rnacentral:rRNA from 1 species